AAAGAUUCAUCGCUGAUAGAUAGGCAUGCGUUCCAUUAGGCAGUUCGCGGGGUAACGGCCCACCAAACCGACGAUGGAUAGGGGUUCUGAGAGGAAGGUCCCCCACAUUGGUACUGAGACACGGACCAAACUCCUACGGGAGGCAGCAGUGAGGAAUAUUGGUCAAUGGGCGUAAGCCUGAACCAGCCAAGUCGCGUGAGGGAUGAAGGUUCUAUGGAUCGUAAACCUCUUUUAUAAGGGAAUAAAGUGUGGGACGUGUCCUAUUUUGUAUGUACCUUAUGAAUAAGGAUCGGCUAACUCCGUGCCAGCAGCCGCGGUAAUACGGAGGAUCCGAGCGUUAUCCGGAUUUAUUGGGUUUAAAGGGUGCGUAGGCGGCCUUUUAAGUCAGCGGUGAAAGUCUGUGGCUCAACCAUAGAAUUGCCGUUGAAACUGGGGGGCUUGAGUAUGUUUGAGGCAGGCGGAAUGCGUGGUGUAGCGGUGAAAUGCUUAGAUAUCACGCAGAACCCCGAUUGCGAAGGCAGCCUGCCAAGCCAUGACUGACGCUGAUGCACGAAAGCGUGGGGAUCAAACAGGAUUAGAUACCCUGGUAGUCCACGCAGUAAACGAUGAUCACUAGCUGUUUGCGAUACAGUGUAA
rnacentral:rRNA from 1 species